rnacentral:rRNA from 1 species
ACUCCUACGGGAGGCAGCAGUGGGGAAUAUUGCACAAUGGGGGAAACCCUGAUGCAGCGACGCCGCGUGCGGGAUGAAGGCCUUCGGGUUGUAAACCGCUUUCAGCAGGGGCGAAUCAAGACGGUACCUGCAGAAGAAGCGCCGGCUAACUACGUGCCAGCAGCCGCGGUAAUACGUAGGGCGCGAGCGUUGUCCGGAAUUAUUGGGCGUAAAGAGCUCGUAGGCGGCCUGUUGCGUCCGCUGUGAAAUCCCGGGGCUUAACCCCGGGCGUGCAGUGGAUACGGGCAGGCUGGAGGCAGGCAGGGGAGAACGGAAUUCCCGGUGUAGCGGUGAAAUGCGCAGAUAUCGGGAGGAACACCGGUGGCGAAGGCGGUUCUCUGGGCCUGUACUGACGCUGAGGAGCGAAAGCGUGGGGAGCGAACAGGAUUAGAUACCCUGGUAGUCCACGCCGUAAACGUUGGGCGCUAGGUGUGGGUCCCUUCCACGGGGUCUGUGCCGCAGCUAACGCAUUAAGCGCCCCGCCUGGGGAGUACGGCCGCAAGGCUAAAACUCAAAGAAAUUGACGGGGGCCCGCACAAGCGGCGGAGCAUGUUGCUUAAUUCGACGCAACGCGAAGAACCUUACCAAGGUUUGACAUGGGCCGAAAACUCGCAGAGAUGCGGGGUCCUUCGGGGCGGUUCACAGGUGGUGCAUGGCUGUCGUCAGCUCGUGUCGUGAGAUGUUGGGUUAAGUCCCGCAACGAGCGCAACCCUCGUCCAAUGUUGCCAGCGGGUCAUGCCGGGGACUCAUUGGAGACUGCCGGGGUCAACUCGGA